AGUGAACGCUGGCGGUAGGCCUAACACAUGCAAGUCGAACGGCAGCACAGUAAGAGCUUGCUCUUACGGGUGGCGAGUGGCGGACGGGUGAGGAAUACAUCGGAAUCUACUUUUUCGUGGGGGAUAACGUAGGGAAACUUACGCUAAUACCGCAUACGACCUACGGGUGAAAGCAGGGGAUCUUCGGACCUUGCGCGAUUGAAUGAGCCGAUGUCGGAUUAGCUAGUUGGCGGGGUAAAGGCCCACCAAGGCGACGAUCCGUAGCUGGUCUGAGAGGAUGAUCAGCCACACGGGAACGGAGACACGGUCCAGACGCCUGAGGGAGGCAGCAGUGGGGAAUAUUGGGCAAUGGGCGCAAGCCUGAUCCAGCCAUACCGCGUGUGUGAAGAAGGCCUUCGAGUUGGAAAGCCCUUUUGUUGGGAAAGAAAAGCAGCAGGUUAAUACCCCGCUGUUCUGACGGUACCCAAAGAAUAAGCACCGGCUAACUUCGUG
rnacentral:rRNA from 1 species